GUAGGGAAUAUUGGGCAAUGGUCUGAAGACUGACCCAGCCAUGCCGCGUGCAGGAAGACGGCCCUCUGGGUUGUAAACUGCUUUUAUCUGGGAAGAAAAAGGCCAUGCGUGGCAAAUUGCCGGUACCAGAUGAAUAAGCACCGGCUAACUCCGUGCCAGCAGCCGCGGUAAUACGGAGGGUGCGAGCGUUGUCCGGAUUUAUUGGGUUUAAAGGGUGCGUAGGCGGCUGAUUAAGUCAGCGGUGAAAGACUUCGGCUUAACCGGAGCAGUGCCGUUGAUACUGGUUGGCUUGAGUGUCGGAGGGGUACAUGGAAUUGAUGGUGUAGCGGUGAAAUGCAUAGAUACCAUCAGGAACACCGAUAGCGAAGGCAUUGUACUGGCCGACAACUGACGCUGAUGCACGAAAGUGUGGGGAUCGAACAGGAUUAGAAACCCUUGUAGUCC
rnacentral:rRNA from 1 species